GAACUUCGUAUAAUAGUGAAUCUCCCAAUUAUAAAUCAAAAAACCAGAUAGGCUCUUUUUCUUUUUGGAACGAAGAACCAGAUAAGAUCAGACACAAAACGUCAGAAGCUACACGGUCACUGAUAGCAUCACCAUAUUUACCAGCAAGAGUGAAGAAAAGAAAGGAGAGAGAGAGAGAGAAAACUUCACCCAGAAUCAGCACAGAAAGUACAGAAUGAAGCUGAAAGUAUACGUUGAUCGACUGUCACAACCGUCACGUGCAAUUUUAAUCUUCCUCAAGGCAAAUGGAAUAGAGUUCGAGGAGGUGAAAAUAGACAUAGUCAAACGCCAACACAAAUCUCCUGAAUUCAAAA